UGCUGCGGGAGGAGCGGCGGCGCCUGGGGCGGCAGCGGCGCGUCUUCGAGGAGGAGCGGCGCGCCUUCACCGAGGCCGCCGUGCGCCUGGCCCGGCAGCAGGAGCAGCUGGAGGCCGAGCGGUGGGAGCUGCUGCAGCGGGAGCUGGCGGGCGCCUGGCCGGAGGAGUCGCCCCUGCCCGCGAGCUGCCCCCCCUGGCGGUGCCUGGGUGCCCUGGAGGGCAGG